CAGAAAUAGCCAAGAAGUGUCAAGGUUUGCCGAUGUCAAUAAUUACAACUGCAAGGGCAUUGAAAAAUCAGAGCCACUUAGUUUGGAAGGAUACUCAUCGAGCUCUUGAAAAGCUUGAAGAGGAAAACCAAUUAGCAGCACCUGAGUAUUCUACAAAGUUGAGUUAUAGGCUUCUAGAAAAUGAGGAGCUCAAGCUUACCUUCUUGCUUUGUGCCCGUAUGGAUCAUGAUGCAUUGGUUGCGGAUUUGGUGAGAUAUUGCAUUGGUUUGGGUUUUCUUCAACGCGUCUGCUCAGUUUGGGAAGCCAGAGACAGAGUACAAAUGCUACUCGUCAAGUUAAAACAGUCAGGUUUGUUGUCUAACAGUUAUUAUUCAAGUGAUCGUUUCACCAUGCAAAAUCUUGUUCGUAAUGCAGCUUUGUCAAUAUCAUCUGAGGAGAGGCAUGUGUUCAUGAUGAUCGAAGAAAAACUAGAUGAAUGGCCUGAUGAGGAUCUACUUAAAGAGUACACUGUUAUUUCCUUACAACGUUGUAAUUUCAUUGAGAGAUUUCCUGUGAACAUGUGUUGUCCUAGGCUUAGAGUCUUUCAUAUUGAAAAUAAUGAUCCAUCUUUACAAAUACCAGAUAAUCUUUUUCGAAAAAUGAGAGAGCUUAGGGUGCUGAUUUUGGUGGGGUUCAACCUUUUAUCAUUGCCUUCCUCAAUUAGAUACCUAAAAAAACUAAGAAUGCUUUGUUUCGAGAAAUGCAUUUUAGGUGAAGGUGAGAAAUUAGGUGUCUUGGGAGAAUUAAAGAAUUUAAGAAUACUAAGCUUUUCAAGAUCUGAUGUCAAAGUUUUGCCUGAUGAGCUAAAGCAUUUAUCUAAGCUUCAAAUCUUUGACAUCAGUAACUGUUACAAGCUUAGAGAGUUUCCACAUGAUGUAAUGAAAAGUUUGGCUAGGCUUGAGGAGUUGUAUGUGAGAAACACUCGCAUUCAAUGGAAGGCAAAUGACAGUGUUCUAUCUGUGUUGGGUGAUCUGAAUCAAUUAAAAAAUCUAGACCUGCAAAUCCCAAGUGUUGAGCAUCUACCCAAGAAUUUGUUCUUUGACAAGUUGUACAGUUACAAGAUUAUCAUUGGCUCUUUAAAUAGAUAUUUAGAGGCUGAUUUCAAGAUUCCAGAUAAGUAUGACCUGUCAAGAUGUUUGGCAUUAUGCCAAAAGGAUGGCGGCUUUGACAUUCAUUCCGAGGAGGCAAUCAAAAUGUUGUUUGAAAGGGUUGAAAUCUUGUUGCUGCAAAACUUGAACGGUGUCCAAGAUGUUUUUUAUGAGUUGAAUCUAAAUGGAUUUCCUUAUCUUAAACGUUUAUCCAUUGCAAGCAACAAGAGUGUUCGCUCUCUCAUUAGUCAGCAGAGGCAGCGUUCUGAUCAGGUGGUUUUUCCCAAAUUGGAGUCAUUGUAUCUCUAUAAGCUUAGGAAAAUGGAGCAAAUUUUCUCUUGUAAGUCACUCUCAAAAGGUUCCUUUGGUAAGUUGGAAAAGAUCAAGAUCAAACUGUGUGGUUGCUUGAAGAAUGUUUUCUUAAUGUCUAUGGUUGGACUUCUAAAUAAGCUUGAGACAAUUGAAGUUUCAGAAUGUCACUCUUUGGAGACUAUUGUUGGAGAAACAAUUAAUCAUAAUGAAACAGAGCCUACUCUUAAGUUUCUCAAACUUCGUUCUUUAUCGCUGCAAUCUUUAUCCAAGUUUACUGGGCUCUAUCCAAUUUCAUCUGAAGAAGAUAGCAGAUCACUGUUUGAUGGCAAGGUAUGCUCAUAACUACUUUUCAGAUUUGAUUCUCUUGUACAUUUUGAACUUUGUUUCAUAAUAGGAAGAAAGCUUGUAUAUGUACUAAAAAAAGUGACAAAAGAAAAUAAUUUGAGAAAAUUAUAUUCAACUACUUUUGGAAUCAGCAUUAGUUGUUUAUAUUGCUUGGCAGAUUGAAGUUCGGAAGCUAGAGAGAAUUGAGUUGUCUAUGCUCCAAAUCAACCACAUAUGGAGUGACCAAAUAUGGACUACUGUGGAUCAAAGCAAAUCUCCUUUACAAAAGUUGAAAGAGUUGGGCAAGAAGUACCACACUAUCAAACAAACUUAUUCUCCCUUUCAAAACUUGAUACACCUGGAUGUCAAUGGGUGUUGGAAUUUAAAAUGCCUGUGGUCUUUCUCUAUUGCUAGACAUUUGGUGAAUCUUCAAAGCCUUUUUGUUACUGAUUGUAAGAUGACCCACAUCUUCCCCCAUGAUCAAGGUGAUAGUGAGGCUAAAACGAAAAAGGUAUGUAACUAAUUCAUUAACAUUACAUUAGAUUUGUUUAAUUAAUUAGUUUGAUUUCUGAUCUGAGACAAGUAUUGACUGAAAUGGAUGUGAAGCUAGAGCUUAUUAUCCAUGUGAAACUCUUAAAUCCUAAGGAUGGAGAGACACUGUUCAAGGAGAUGGCUGGAAUAGGAGCCAACAAUUCUGAAAUUGAAACAUUAGCAGCAGAAAUAGCCAAGAAGUGUCAAGGUUUGCCGAUGUCAAUAAUUACAACUGCAAGGGCAUUGAAAAAUCAGAGCCACUUAGUUUGGAAGGAUACUCAUCGAGCUCUUGAAAAGCUUGAAGAGGAAAACCAAUUAGCAGCACCUGAGUAUUCUACAAAGUUGAGUUAUAGGCUUCUAGAAAAUGAGGAGCUCAAGCUUACCUUCUUGCUUUGUGCCCGUAUGGAUCAUGACGCAUUGGUUGCAGAUUUGGUGAGAUAUUGCAUUGGUUUGGGUUUUCUUCACGGUGUCUACUCAGUUUGGGAAGCCAGAGACAGAGUACAAAUGCUACUCGUCAAGUUAAAAC
rnacentral:lncRNA from 1 species